rnacentral:rRNA from 1 species
UUAUUCAUCUUUAACAGGUAUAUAGGGUACCUAGACGGUGUGCAAUGGCUUAAAUAAGUACCUGGUACACUUGAGUUUGAUAUGUGAGAGGAAUAUGUCGGAAUUGUUGGAGGAAAGAUGAAAUUUGUUAAUACCAAUAGGACUGAUAACGGCGAAGGCAAACCUCUAUGUACAUGUACUUGCUAUUUCUAUUUGUUUAUUUUUUUUUCAAUAGAAAAAAAAAGAAACUAAAAAAAAGAAACUAAAAAAAAGAAACUAAAAAAAAGAAAUUUUUUUUUGUGAAGGAAUAUAUGAAAUAUUAAGCAAAAGAGCAAUGUACUAUAACUGACGUUGAGGGACGAAGGCUCAGAGAGUGAAGAGGAUUAGAUACCCCCGUAACCUGGGCAGACAAUGAUGAGUGCCAUAGGUUGGCUUUAAGGCGGAACUAUAAAUGAAAGUGGAAGCACUCCACCUCAAGAGUAAUGUGGCAACGCAGGAACUGAAAUCAUUAGACCGUUUCUGAAACCAGUAGUGAAGUUUACACGUGCU